AGCGCCGGCCUGCAGCUCUGAACCCUACCGCCAACGGUGCGGCGCGCGGCCGGCCGGAGCGUAUCCUCGCCGGCUAUCCGGCGCCGCCACCAGGCACCGUCUUCCGCAACUCCAUACCUUCGGGUGCUCACUCCUCCGGGCCCCGACCUCAAGACCGUGUCGGCCGCUCGGCGGAGCCCGUGAAUCCUCAAUCCUCAGGGCUCAGGCUGUCCACUUCCUCAAGACCGUGCGUCAAUCGAGCUCCAGAGCAAGGGCAAGGAUUCAGUACACGUCUGGUUAUCUAACUGCUAAAUGCCUACAACCAGAGCUAUAUGUAUCCCUGUUCUCGACAUCGAUGAAUUCAAGUCAACAGUUUAUCCCGUUUGUUAGAUGUUAUCAGUGUGUGGUUUCCUUGAAAAAAUGCGCGGUGGUUUGCUCCCCGCGCUGAUCUGCUUCUCGCUAUGCAGCGGCCACGGACUGAAGACAGGGGCACCACCGUGGUUUGCUGCAGAAUCUGAAACCAACCAAUUAACUACAGAAUCUGAAGCCUCUUUUUCAACUCAACUCAGCAUGGACUCCCUUCAUCUUGUGCACGUCAAGCUUCUGGCUGCCGACCUUCUCACGCUCACCCCCCGACAUACAUCGCCGGCUUCCUUUGUUCGCUGUGGCCGUACAGUUGCUCGUGCCGAGGUUGUCGGGAUCGUUGUUUCACGUGACCGCAGGGAGAAGUUUCUCCGCUUCCUGGUUGAUGAUGGCACUGGCUGUAUACCGUGUGUCCUGUGGUUGAACCACCGGUACCUGAAUGCAAACAGUUCAUCCGAUUCUGAUCCAACUGGAGAGAUGGCAUUGAAAAUGUCGGAGGUGGUACGCCUGGGCACCCUGUUGAGGGUUCGUGGGAGGAUUGUCAUGUACCGUGGUGCAAUUCAGAUUGCUGCUAGAGACGUGGUUCUAGAGGAGGACCCUAAUGUGGAGGUUCUACAUUGGUUGCAGUGCGUUCACAUGGCCAAGGAAUGUUAUGAUUUGCCACUACCUUCUGCUUGAGUUGUGCCUCGGAGGAUCUCAUGCUCUAUAAUGAUCCCAAAUUGUACGGUGUUUCUUUCUGUGGUUACUGUUGAGCCAACUUCUUCUAACGCGAUCCAGCGUGUGUACGGCAAACAUCGUUAAUCAAAUGCCUUUUUUGCUCGACUGCAUUUGAUUUACUUCAUUUAAGUAGGAUUACUAUCUUGCGUGCAGUUAUUCAUUAAAGGCAUACAUGGUUAAACUCAACUCGAAACAUGCAAGUCUUGCUGAUGAUAUGAUUUAUCCAGCGGUUAUAUGUCUCCGGAAUAUGCAAUGGAAGGCCUCUUUUCUGUUAAGUCUGAUGUCUAUAGCUUUGGAGUAUUGCUCUUGGAAACUGUAAGUGGUCUAAGGAUUAGCUCAACCCAGAACAUCAAUGAGUUCCCCAACCUUAUAAUAUAUGCAUGGAGUCUAUGGAGGGAAGGGCUGGCAAAAGAUCUUGUGGAUCCAUCUGUUUCAGAGAGCUGCUCGGAUGAAGAAGUUUUGUGUUGCAUUCAUGUCGGGCUCUUGUGUGUUCAGGAUGACUCGGAUGCGAGACCACCCAUGUCAACGGUUUUAACAACCUUGGAGAGUAGAAGCACACCACUUGCAACGCCUGAUAAGCCGCCGUAUUUUUCUGGGAGAAAUAAGGUAGCAAAGAGAGCAGACUAUGGCUAGGACUCUGUGGAUACGGAGACUCUUACAGUAGUAGAGAGACGGUAGGGUCUCAAAGUGAGUUUCGCCCGUGCACCGUUUCUCAGUUGUCCCAACAAUUUGCUAAAGGAUUUAUCUGCCACCGCAAUCACACGCACUGGAGUUCUCCUUUGAUGUGGCAUGGUAUGCCUUAAAGAAAUUCUUGUUUUGUAUUUGUAUUUUCCUCUGGGGUUCCACUGUGAAGUCUGGACUCUGGACUAUUACAGUUUCUAUGUCGUGACGAGUACGGAAUAUUUAUUUUAUGGUAAAAAAAGACGGAAGUAACAAAGAUUUUCCCUUA